GUGCAAGCCGUACGCGCGCGCUAAGUCAAAUUAGCGCGUACUAUAUGAUAAAUAUACACGGUGAAACCGCGAAAGGCUCAUUAAAUCAGUUAUGGUUCCUUAGAUCGUGCCCACGUUACUUGGAUAACUGUGGUAAUUCUAGAGCUAAUACAUGCCGACAGAGUUCUGACCAGCGCCGAGUGGCAGCNNNNNNNCUGUAUCCACUCUCGGAGUUUGGAAGGAACGCUCUUAUUAGAUCAAAACCGGCCGAGCGGGAUCGUCGUCANNNNNNGCGGCGGCAGUCGGGGUGUGUGGGUGUCUUCGAUUGUCCGCAAGUGGCCCGCGCAAAGACUUGACGACUCUGAAUAAUUUCUAGCUGAUCGCACGGUCGAGAACGACUCUCUCCNNNNNNNUGAAAAGCACCGGCGACGUAUCUUUCAAAUGUCUGCCUUAUCAACUGUCGACGGUAGGUUCGACGCCUACCGUGGUGGUAACGGGUAACGGGGAAUCAGGGUUCGAUUCCGGAGAGGGAGCCUGAGAAACGGCUACCACAUCCAAGGAAGGCAGCAGGCGCGCAAAUUACCCACUCCCAGCUCGGGGAGGUAGUGACGAAAAAUAACGAUACGGGACUCAUCCGAGGCCCCGUAAUCGGAAUG
rnacentral:rRNA from 1 species